AUUGAACGCUGGCGGCAUGCGUAACACAUGCAAGUCGAACGGUGUUUGGUGCUUGCACCAGACAUAGUGGCGGACGGGUGAGUAAUGCGUAGGAAUCUGUCUUAGAGAGGGGGACAACCCGAGGAAACUUGGGCUAAAACCGCAUAUUCUCGAGAGAGGAAAGCAGGGGACCGGAAACGGCCUUGUGCUCUAAGGUGAGCCUACGUCGGAUUAGCUAGUUGGUAGGGUAAAAGCCUACCAAGGCGAUGAUCUGUAGCUGGUCUGAGAGGACGGACAGCCACACUGGGACUGAGACACGGCCCAGACUCCUACGGGAGGCAGCAGUGGGGAAUAUUGGACAAUGGGGGAACCCUGAUCCAGCGAUGCCGCGUGUGUGAAGAAGGCCUGCGGGUUGUAAAGCACUUUCAGUGGGAAAGAGAAGCGUCUUGUGAAUAAUGGGACGUGGAGACGUUACUCACAGAAGAAGCACCGGCUAAACUCUGUGCCAGCAGCCGCGGUAAU
rnacentral:rRNA from 1 species